GAUGAACGCUGGCGGCGUGCCUAAUACAUGCAAGUCGAGCGAACAGACGAGGAGCUUGCUCCUCUGACGUUAGCGGCGGACGGGUGAGUAACACGUGGAUAACCUACCUAUAAGACUGGGAUAACUUCGGGAAACCGGAGCUAAUACCGGAUAAUAUAUUGAACCGCAUGGUUCAAUAGUGAAAGACGGUUUUGCUGUCACUUAUAGAUGGAUCCGCGCCGCAUUAGCUAGUUGGUAAGGUAACGGCUUACCAAGGCAACGAUGCGUAGCCGACCUGAGAGGGUGAUCGGCCACACUGGAACUGAGACACGGUCCAGACUCCUACGGGAGGCAGCAGUAGGGAAUCUUCCGCAAUGGGCGAAAGCUUGACGGAGCAACGCCGCGUGAGUGAUGAAGGUCUUCGGAUCGUAAAACUCUGUUAUUAGGGAAGAACAAAUGUGUAAGUAACUAUGCACGUCGUGACGGUACCUAAUCAGAAGGCCACGGCUAACUACG
rnacentral:rRNA from 1 species